rnacentral:misc_RNA from 1 species
CGUGACACAACCCAACCCAACGAUAAAAAGCCCAGCGCUGCUCCGUUCCAGCUCCCGCGCCUACUCCACUGACUCCAGCGCUCUGUCCGACGGCCGCAGCGAUGCCCAACCCCGCCGCAUCCCCGGUACCGGUGCCCGGCGCCGCCACUCGCCGCCGGCGGAGGAAUAUCCUCCCGUCGUCGUCGUCGUCGUCUUCUUCGUCGUCCUCCUCCUCCUCCUUCUCUGCCACGGCGAUCCGCACGUCCGCCUCCGGCGCCUCCUCCUCGUCCUCCUCCGCCCCGCCCUUCUCGCCGGCGCCCUCGCCGUUCCACCACCGCUUCCUCUCCCCGCUGCGCGCCUCCGCGGUGCCCUUCUCCUGGGAGCACCGCCCGGGCAUCCCCAAGACGCCCGCGCGGCGCGCCAGCGGCAGCAAGGCCAAGACGCCGGCGGCGCUGCCCCUCCCGCCCUCCCUCCUCUCCAGCAAGGUCAGCGCCGUCGACGGGACCUUCUCCUCCGCCGACGGCUACCUCGUCGUCCCGCCCGACGCCAAGGCGAGGCGGCGGCGCAGGCGGCCGCCGGCGCUGGCCGCCUCUCUCACCGACUGGCUCGCCGUGCUCAGCCUCUACCGGUCGUGCACGCGGUCCCGCGACUGCCUCGCCCGCACGCCGCCGCUGCGCCCCCGCGCUCCGGCGCCGGCGAAGGCCCGUCUCGUCGAUCGGCUCACCACUCACCAGUGAGCCAGGUCCGCGCGUGUCCGGUGCUCCCGGUCCUUCGCCGGGUGUUGCGGUUGCGGAUUGAGAAUGUGAGUAGGAUUAAUCACGCCUGGCUAGCUUUGACACUGUAAUUAAGGUGGUUUCCCCCGCCCCAUGUUUGUUCCAGCCAAUAAUAAUUGGUUCAUCCGGACUUGAUGCCGCUGAUGAUAGCCUGCUAGUGAUGCGUUUGCAUGCCGGUGAGGUGAGUAAGCUUGUCUCACCGUUAAUUAGGUUGUAAGCUUGUUCGCUGAUUGGUGAGUAAGACACAGUUAGUGUCAAUUAUGAAAAAGACCACUUGCGACAAGAUGGAUAUGCAUAUGCUGUACUAUAGUUAUGUUUGGUUGAGCUUUUUCCGAAAAGUUGGUUACGGAGAGAAUCUGACUAUCUUCGAGUGGAGGAAGAUAAACUAGUUAAUGCCUCUGUUUGUUUCAGCUUUUUGGAGCUUCUGGCCACCAAAAGCUGCUGCGGACUGCCAAACGCUCAGCUUUUCAGUCAGUUUCUAUAAAAUUCGUUUGGGUAAAAACCAUUCAAAAUAAACAUAAACACAUAAUCAGUUGAGUCGUUGCAAUAGUAGGAUUCC